AUUGAACGCUGGCGGCAUGCCUUACACAUGCAAGUCGAACGGCAGCGCGGGGCAACCUGGCGGCGAGUGGCGAACGGGUGAGUAAUAUAUCGGAACGUGCCCUGGAGUGGGGGAUAACGUAGCGAAAGUUACGCUAAUACCGCAUACGAUCCAAGGAUGAAAGCAGGGGACCUUCGGGCCUUGUGCUCCUGGAGCGGCCGAUAUCUGAUUAGCUAGUUGGUGGGGUAAAAGCCUACCAAGGCGACGAUCAGUAGCUGGUCUGAGAGGACGACCAGCCACACUGGAACUGAGACACGGUCCAGACUCCUACGGGAGGCAGCAGUGGGGAAUUUUGGACAAUGGGGGCAACCCUGAUCCAGCAAUGCCGCGUGUGUGAAGAAGGCCUCGGUUGUAAGA
rnacentral:rRNA from 1 species